UACGUAGGGGGCAAGCGUUGUCCGGAUUUAUUGGGCGUAAAGCGCGUGUAGGCGGCUAAGUAAGUCGGGCGUGAAAUCCCACGGCUCAACCGUGGAAGUGCACUCGAAACUGCAUAGCUAGAGUCCUGGAGAGGAAGGUGGAAUGCUUGGUGUAGAGGUGAAAUUCGUAGAUAUCAAGCGGAACACCGGUGGCGAAGGCGGCCUUCUGGACAGUGACUGACGCUGAGACGCGAAAGCGUGGGGAGCAAACAGG
rnacentral:rRNA from 1 species